CGUAAGACUCGUUCGCCCCGCCCGCAAGCCGUACCCAGUGAGGGCGGAGGGACCUAGCAAGGUAGGUGGAGAGUUCAGUGAACUCCCGGUGCAAGAUGGUAUCUUAGAGAAGGUGCUGUGUCUCUUAAAGGGUCCACGACUCCUCUUUUGACCAUGCCGCCACCGCCGCCCGCAGUACCGGUGUCUGCUGCUGGGAGUGCCUCGGGGAACCCGGAGAGCCCCUCUUCCUGGUUACUUCCGCUGGUUUUUUUCCUGGAAACUCGCUCCGAUGUCCCGAAAUGACUCAGCUGUAGUAAAUCUGCAACACAACGUGCGGAGGAAUUUUCAUCAGCAAACAUCAUUUAAAAGGAAAUUAAUGGCGAAAAUGGGGCAUUGGGAAACCAUGGGGGAGGGGGGAGACUGAGAGAAUGAGAAUGAAUAAUGGCAAAAUAAAUAAAUAAAUAAAUAAAUAAAAAUUUAAAAACCCUGGAAUAUGCCAAAAAUAGGUAACUGAGUUUUUAUUAGAUGAGAAAUUCUGACUGGUGUUCUGAAAUCAGUGGCUUGGCACUGGUGUUAAAAUUUGGGGCAGCAUGGUAGCCCACCUCUAUAAUCCUAGCACUUGGGUGGCAGACUCAGGCAGAUCUCUGAGUUAGAGGCAAGUUCCUGGGCUGCACAGAAAAACUCUGUCCUUGAGAAAGCAAAUAAGGCUUAUUCAGUAACAAAUACAGAGACCCUGUUAUGUACUAGGAGUCCAAUGGAGGCGAAAUCCUGGAUCACUGAACAGUUUGUGGAGUUAUGUAAUAACAUUUGGAAAAUAUCCUAUGAGCACACAUCUCACAUAAAAGAGGC
rnacentral:lncRNA from 1 species